GACGAAAUCUGGUCUACAAAGAGUACUAGAAUAUUUCAAGCGAGCUUAUGGCAAUCCGCCUAUGAAUAUUCAUGAAAAUGGUCAAAUAACACCACGAACUGCGGUAUUGAAUGACACAACCAGGGUAGACUAUCUCCAAGCUUAUAUUGGGAAUUUGCUUGAUGCAAUGAGGAAUGGAUCAAACGUGAAAGGCUACUUCACAUAGUCAUUUUUAGACUAUUUUGAGUUACUGGACGCAUAUGGUUCGGCAUUUGGCCUAUAUUAUGUGGAUUUAGAUGACAAAAACUUGCAUAAAUAUCCAAAGCUUUCUGCACAUUGGUACUCUAAUUUCUUGAAGGGGAAAGGCUCCAAACAUAGUGCACUUCUUGAGAUUGAGGACAAAGUGCUUCAUUCUUCUCAAUUUCGUUCUUGUUCGUAAGUAAUGAGUUGUAUUGUGUUCUCAAUAUCCAGUUACGGAAUUCACAUGUCUCUGUUGGAAUAUUUGCAAAUAAAGAUUCAUAGUGUAGACGGCUGAUCGUCUACCCUCAGACU